CUACGGGAGGCAGCAGUGGGGAAUAUUGGGCAAUGGGCGCAAGCCUGACCCAGCAACGCCGCGUGAGGGAAGAAGGUUUUCGGAUUGUAAACCUCUGUCCUUGGGGACGAAGAAGUGACGGUACCCAAGGAGGAAGCUCCGGCUAACUACGUGCCAGCAGCCGCGGUAAUACGUAGGGAGCAAGCGUUGUCCGGAAUUACUGGGCGUAAAGGGUGCGUAGGCGGCAUAUUAAGUCAGGUGUGAAAUACUCGGGCUCAACCCGGGGGCUGCAUUUGAAACUGAUAUGCUUGAGUGUGAGAGAGGAAAGUGGAAUUCCUAGUGUAGCGGUGGAAUGCGUAGAUAUUAGGAGGAACACCAGUGGCGAAGGCGACUUUCUGGCUCAUAACUGACGCUGAGGCACGAAAGCGUGGGGAGCAAACAGGAUUAGAUACCCUAGUAGUC
rnacentral:rRNA from 1 species